rnacentral:rRNA from 1 species
AGGAGAGUUUGAUCCUGGCUCAGGAUGAACGCUAGCGGCAGGCUUAACACAUGCAAGUCGAGGGGCAGCGCGGUUGUAGCAAUACGACUGGCGGCGACCGGCGAAAGGGUGCGUAACGCGUGAGCGACAUGCCCGUCACCGGGGUAUAACCGAUGGAAACGUCGACUAAUCCCCCAUAACAUCAGAGGAGGCAUCUCCUUUGGUUGAAAUUCACGGAGGUGACGGAUUGGCUCGCGUCUGAUUAGCUAGUCGGCGGGGUAACGGCCCACCGAGGCGACGAUCAGUAGGGGUUCUGAGAGGAAGGUCCCCCACAAUGGAACUGAGACACGGUCCAUACUCCUACGGGAGGCAGCAGUGAGGAAUAUUGGUCAAUGGGCGGAAGCCUGAACCAGCCAUGCCGCGUGCAGGACGACGGCCCUAUGGGUUGUAAACUGCUUUUGCUGCGGAGCAAUAAGGGCCUCGUGCAGGUCCGAUGAGAGUACGCAGCGAAUAAGCAUCGGCUAACUCCGUGCCAGCAGCCGCGGUAAUACGGAGGAUGCGAGCGUUAUCCGGAUUUAUUGGGUUUAAAGGGUGCGUAGGCUGUGUGUUAAGUCAGGGGUGAAAUGCCGUCGCUCAACGACGGAGCUGCCCUUGAUACUGGCGUGCUGGAGUACGGAUGCCGUUGGAGGAAUGAGUGGUGUAGCGGUGAAAUGCUUAGAUAUCACUCAGAACACCGAUUGCGAAGGCAUCUGACGAAUCCGUCACUGACGCUGAGGCACGAAAGCGUGGGGAUAGAACAGGAUUAGAUACCCUGGUAGUCCCCU